GCCGGGGCGUCCCCCGCGGGAGCCCGCAGCCACCCGGGACGCGCAUCCAGACGUGGCGCUUCGGACCGGGCACGCUGCGCCCGGGGGCUCGGCGGACCCCGCGUAGCCGCCGCUUCGGAGCUUGUGCGGCGCGGGCUGGCCAGCGGGGCGGCCAGGGCCCGGCCCGCCUCCCCAGCGCCCGCCCGGCUUCUCCCCCUGGCGGUGGGAGCCUCGGCGGCCGCUGGCGACACUAGGCGCACUGAAGCCCGAGCCGAGCCGAGCCCGAGCCGCCGCCGCCGCCGCCGCUGCUGCGCACCGCUCCCGGGCUCCCUCCCAGCGCGCCGGCCGGGGUGUGGGGGGCGGCGGGCCGGAGGGGCGAGGGCGGGCCAGGGGGCGCACACGGGGGUUGGCGCGGAAGACAGGACCCUCAGCCUCGAGGGAGCCCCUAGGUGACCAGGCAAAAUGGCAGUUCCUUCCAGCUGGUCCUCAGAUGGGCACAUCUAUUAGCCUCUGCUCUUGUAAGAAGUUAGCUGCAGAACCCACAUGUGAAUCCUUGUAGGACUCUGGAGAAGAUCAAAUGGGAGCUUAGAUGUGGAAGCUCUUUGGAAACCAAGAAACACUCUGAAAAUGAAAAGGGAAGCAGAAGUUCUCCUUAGCUGAUUUUUCUUCUUGCCUUAUACUGGGUUCUUUAACACCAGAACAAAAAUAAAUAAAUAAAAGAAUCUUCCAGAAAUUCAUGAAGAGACUUCAGGUCAGGAAAGCCUGAACUUUCUCAUCCAACACCCGUUCAAGUCGGAGGAUGCUGAUUAAUUCAUGAUGGAAAGGUAUCAAUUUCACAGCCCAGACCUCUACAUUCUUGAAAUGCUCUUCUCAUGGGAGACAUUAAAUAAGCUUUGAAUUAACUGAGACCUCUGUGGAUUCUAUAACUCAAAGACCCAGGCUGACGGCUGGUGGAAUAGCUACCAUCUCAAACAUGGCGUGAUGCUGCAUCAGAGAGAAAAAUAAGCUCUUGCAUUGACAAUGAAAUGUCUACCCUGUAGUGACUUGUGCUUACUUCCACUCACAAGUGAUUGCCCAGAGCUACUUACCUGGCUCCAAUCUACCACUGGUGCCAUGACACCCAGGAUGCAGCUGUAGGAACACCACUGGGUCCCUGGAUGUCAUGUAAGCCCUUAAGUAAAAGUGCCAUCAAAUGAUUUCUCAGAAAUUAUAAAGAAACAAAAGGACCAUAAACAAGAUAAGGUGGCAUGAGGAAACAUUACAAGUACCUUUCAGAGCUGACUGGCAAAGAAACUCCUGAGGUGACGGUUCUACCCCAAUAUUACUUCUUCGAAGAGCAACCUAACUGACCUUGUAUUGAAGACAGCGUAACCCCCAAGAGGAAAGGAGCUUGGAGCCCUGAAUCAGAGUAGAAGACAGGCUGAAUGAAUACCAGCCUUGGACUGUUGUGUGAAUGAAAAACAAGUUUUGAGAUUUGUGUGGUUUAUUUAUUAUAGUUACUGUUAUUAUUAAAGUUUUUCACUGCUUUACUCUCAG
rnacentral:lncRNA from 1 species